AGUGAACGCUGGCGGUAGGCCUAACACAUGCAAGUCGAACGGCAGCACAGUAAGAGCUUGCUCUUACGGGUGGCGAGUGGCGGACGGGUGAGGAAUACAUCGGAAUCUACUUUUUCGUGGGGGAUAACGUAGGGAAACUUACGCUAAUACCGCAUACGACCUACGGGUGAAAGCAGGGGAUCUUCGGACCUUGCGCGAUUGAGUGAGCCGAUGUCGGAUUAGCUAGUUGGCGGGGUAAAGGCCCACCAAGACGACGAUCCGUAGCUGGUCUGAGAGGAUGAUCAGCCACACUGGAACUGAGACACGGUCCAGACUCCUACGGGAGGCAGCAGUGGGGAAUAUUGGACAAUGGGCGCAAGCCUGAUCCAGCCAUACCGCGUGGGUGAAGAAGGCCUUCGGGUUGUAAAGCCCUUUUGUUGGGAAAGAAAAGCAGCAGGUUAAUACCCCGCUGUUCUGACGGUACCCAAAGAAUAAGCACCGGCUAACUUCGUG
rnacentral:rRNA from 1 species